ensembl:antisense
AUCUAAGAUCCAGGACUUGGGGGUCCCUAACUUUAAAUAGUGGGGUGUGCUGAUUGUUUGGGAUCUGCCUCAAGACUUCAGCCAAGGUCUACCUAGGCGAUACUUCUCAAAGACUGGAGCCAUUCUUGUGUCUAGGCCCAGGUUUGAGGCCGCGAUGACUCAACGCAGCAUCCCCUCCCCUUGCUAAACCGCGGUCUCCGCCUACCCCCAAUCAAUUUCAAGGAAGCACUUUGGGCGCCAGGAUUCCCAGCACUUAGCUGGUGGGCAAAGGGGCUCAUCCCCUUCCCCACAUCCCACCUUCCCUCCUCCCAGUCUUCGGGAGUGCGGAGCUCCUGCCGGGAUCCAAGAGCAGGCUCUUGGAGGUCGAAGAAGGAUAUAACCUCCAGACCUGGAAUUUAAGACGCAAGAACCAGCCAGCAAAUGUGGCAGCAGAGCAUGCGAGGGACUGCUGAAGGCUUUUUAUUUGGAAGCUAUGAAACUUGAGGUUCUACUGAAAAGGAGAAGAGGCUGCUGGAGAUGGGAAGNCAAGAAAACAUGAAGAUAUAGAAGUCUCAGCUUCUUCAGUGCUAUGUCUGCCAGGAUGCUGCCACACUCUCUUCUUAAUGAUAAUGGACUGAACCUCUGAACCUGGACGAGAAACUACAGCAUUACUUCUGUAGAUUCACAAAGGAGUCCACGUUCCAAGAUGAGAGAAAUACCNGAAGCUGAUGGCUAUUCUAUUUGACUGAAUGAAAAGAAAAGGAAGUCACUUCCUGUUAAUCCUGCUUUGGAUUCCUCCACAGUUUAAGAAGCACCAUUGAUCUGAUCAUUGGCACUGAGAAGGAAAUGCCCAUCCGCAGAAGACACUCAGGGCUCAUCCCAGCUUGACAUGGGCACAUUCUGUUGCCUACUUUCUACCUUGACGUCAUUUGGAGUAACAGCCGCCAUGUUGUGAUAAUGGAGACAAUGAGUGCAUGGGAGAUUAUCAACUAACAAACACAGUACACAGAAAGGAGCUCUGGAGACCAGGGAGCACCCAAGCCAAUCCUGGAAACCGGAUUGGGCACAGUUUCUGUAUCUGGUGAAGUGGGCAGAAGAUAGCAGCCCCAGGGCUUGAGCCUCCCUUCACAGUGGGCANCUGGCACAGGCAGACAACAAGCAGUGAGCCAGCAGAAGGAACCGCUUGGUCAGCACAGGUGCUUUCAUCAGAUGAAGUGGGGUCACCUUUUACACUCCUGUUAACUCCUUGGGUGGAAUUACCCAACGGAAUGAAAAUAGGAUGGAGUUAUGGUGGGACACUCUUACUGAACUCUGAAAACAUCCUGCAGCAAAUUGCUUCUGUGAAAUCUUCCUGCUGUUUGGGAUGUAUCCUUCUAUAGCACAGAAACGGAAACUUCAGCCAGAAGAGAGGAAUUCAGUGACUCCAUGCCAACAGAAACAGAGCUCUGCAUUUGUUUCCUGAGCCUACUUGCACUUGGAAGGUUUCUUUCCUCACAAGAAACAUGUGUUACAGGAUAUAAAAGUGGCUUUCAGUUUGGGGUUAGAACCCGAGACAGAAAGACAACGGAGAAAAAUUUCAGCUCAGCCUUUCUAGAUUGGAAAUGAUGCAUGAAGUUUGCUGUUUCUCCAAGAUUUCAGAACAGGUAUGACAUGGUGCUUAAUUUAAUCACCCAGUGAAUCACCUUUUCUCUGUGAGAUGUUAACACUGAUGUAAGAUGUUUCCAUGUGAGGAACAAGAAAGACUUUAGACACAGAAAAGCUUCAAGGAUUGGUAAAUAGAAUAGUGUGGUCUGCACCCCACUAAUUUUUCUUGCCAUCCCUGAGAGGUCCUAUGGGCUGUAGCAAUGCAUCAUUUAGAUAGCCCCUUCAGCUGGUUCAUGGAAAAACUAACAAAAAUUGAUGCUGU